GUGCCAGCAGCCGCGGUAAUACAGAGGGGGCAAGCGUUAUUCGGAAUUACUGGGCGUAAAGGGCGCGUAGGCGGUUCUUUAAGUCGGAUGUGCAAUCCCCGAGCUCAACUUGGGAACUGCAUCCGAAACUGGGGAGCUAGAGUGCUGGAGAGGGUGGUGGAAUUCCACGUGUAGCGGUGAAAUGCGUAGAGAUGUGGAGGAACACCAGUGGCGAAGGCGGCCACCUGGACAGUAACUGACGCUGAGGCGCGAAAGUGUGGGUAGCAAACAGGAUUAGAAACCCUGGUAGUCC
rnacentral:rRNA from 1 species